rnacentral:tRNA from 1 species
CCGACCUUAGCUCAGUUGGUAGAGCGGAGGACUGUAGUGGGUGCAAAAAACCUGAUGGCUAUCCUUAGGUCGCUGGUUCGAAUCCGGCAGGUCGGA